UUUAUCAACAUGGGGUAUACAACUUUUAUCACUGUUGGAGGUUCUUGCCUCUGGCAGAUGCUAUACUUUACUAUCCCUUAAACUGUGAGAGGUUUCUCUAGUACAAGUCUGCAUGGAAGGGUUUACUCCAAUAAUCUGUGCCAUGGCUCUUCAACACUGACUCAUGUUAGUAUGUUUUCCUCAAAUGUAUUGUAUCAUGAUGAGACUGUACCCAUAAAAAAGAAAAUCAAAUG